GACGAACGCUGGCGGCGUGCUUAACACAUGCAAGUCGAACGGAAAGGCCCUGCUUUUGUGGUGUUCUCGAUUGGCGAACGGGUGUGUAACACUUGAGUAACCUUCCCUUGACUUUGGGAUAACUUCUGGUAACUUGUACUAAUACCGUAUAGGAUCUCCUUCUGCAUGGUGUUGGUUGGUAAGUUUCGGGGGUUGGGGAUUGACUCGCGGCUUAUCAGCUUGUUGGUGGGGUAGUGGCUUACCAAGGCUUUGACGGGUAGCCGGCAUGAGAGGGUGACCGGCCACAUUGGGACUGAGAUAGGGAACAGAAUCGUACGGGAGGCAGCAGUGGGGAAUAUUGCACAAUGGGCGGAAGCCUGAUGAAGCAACGCCGCGUGCGGGAUGACGGCCUUCGGGUUGUAAACAGAUUUCGAAUGUGACGAAGCGUGAGUGACGGUAAUGGGUAAAGAAGCACCGGCUAACUACGUG
rnacentral:rRNA from 1 species